rnacentral:rRNA from 1 species
AGUGAACGCUGGCGGUAGGCCUAACACAUGCAAGUCGAACGGCAGCACAGUAAGAGCUUGCUCUUACGGGUGGCGAGUGGCGGACGGGUGAGGAAUACAUCGGAAUCUACUUUUUCGUGGGGGAUAACGUAGGGAAACUUACGCUAAUACCGCAUACGACCUACGGGUGAAAGCAGGGGAUCUUCGGACCUUGCGCGAUUGAAUGAGCCGAUGUCGGAUUAGCUAGUUGGCGGGGUAAAGGCCCACCAAGGCGACGAUCCGUAGCUGGUCUGAGAGGAUGAUCAGCCACACUGGAACUGAGACACGGUCCAGACUCCUACGGGAGGCAGCAGUCGGGAAUAUUGGACAAUGGGCGCAAGCCUGAUCCAGCCAUACUGCGUGGGUGAAGAAGGCCUUCGGGUUGUAAAGCCCUUUUGUUGGGAAAGAAAAGCAGCAGGUUAAUACCCCGCUGUUCUGACGGUACCCAAAGAAUAAGCACCGGCUAACUUCGUG